UACGUAGGUGGCAAGCGUUGUCCGGAUUCAUUGGGCGUAAAGAGCUCGUAGGCGGUGUGUCACGUCGGCCGUGAAAACCUGCAGCUUAACUGUGGGCGUGCGGUCGAUACGGGCAUCACUGGAGUUCGGCAGGGGAGACUGGAAUUCCUGGUGUAGCGGUGAAAUGCGCAGAUAUCAGGAGGAACACCGGUGGCGAAGGCGGGUCUCUGGGCCGAUACUGACGCUGGAGGAGCGAAAGCCGUGGGGAGCAAACAGG
rnacentral:rRNA from 1 species